CUGGGUCUCUCCAAAAGUUCUUUUUUUUAAAGUUGCCACCUAUUAUUUCUUGUUGUUCUAUCUGCGGCAUGGCAUUAAACCCAAAUGCAUUUGGUCUCAAACGUGGGUUCAGGCUAUUUAAUAUUCAAGCAUCCAUGGCGCGUGGUUCCCAACUUUUAAGCUGAAUAGGCGCUUUGCAUUGAGGCAAGCAGAACUCAAAAAUAAAAAAAAAUUAUAACGAAAGAUUAUAAAUAAAAGUAGAGUCCAUUGUGGAGUGAAUAUUUGGUUCAAAGUGCAGGAAGAAUGUAUACCUCAAAAUAUUUGUUUCUUGUGACCCUAGAACUGGUGGCUUUCGUGUUCAUUGGAUUGUAUGUCAUCCACAACGUCAUCAUAGGAGAAACAUAAGUUCUUCGCGUUAUUUAAAAUGGAAAUAUUUGAAUAAAUGAGUUUAGGCGCCAAACUCACGUGGAUUUCAAUGUUUUGGUCUAUGUUCUGUAACGCGUAGUCUUUCUAUAAUAAGAUGAUAAAGAGUUUUGUCUUGGGA